UAGAGAUGACCUGUCUUCCUAUGUUUCCUAUUAACAGUAGGACUAGAGACCUCAGCUGAACUGCAGAAUCGAGAGUCAGGAAGAGACUCCUAAUUAUCCUGGUCUUGAGUCAUGCUUAAAUGAUAUCUCUUCCAUUCUGGCUCCACAUCCAGAUUCUCUCUGCAGAGUCACAUAGCUGGAUCAUGGCACCCCAAUAAAUCGUGAAGAUGAAACUCUCCUCAUUCAUGCCUGGAGCGCUGGCCAAUUGCAACUGCGGAAUGCGCAUUCAGGACCUCUCACGAAUGCGGUUCCCUUCUCGCGAACCCAGCCCGCCCAGCCUGCCGCCCGUUCUUUCCCCAACGAAAUCAACAAGACCGCAGCGGAAAGGUUUCAUGGUCAAGAAGGCUGACCUAGUCACCGGUUCUCCUAAUGAAUCAGCAAUUGGUGCUGGAAUUCGAAUCCCAGCAUCUCCUUUCAAGCAGGGGAAACCGUCAGAAACCAAUCUCAGAGUUAACAAAGUUAGCUAACAAAGACAAGACCUCUGCAAAACGGAAGACCACAACCUCCCCAUGGACGUCAUCUGCUGCCCUUCUUGACUUGACUCAGGAGUUAAACGCCCAUUCUCCAGGGAACAUGAAGAAACGACCAGAGAUCCUGCGUUCGGGAUCUAUGAACCUUAGGAUUCACUGUAUACUUCUAACAGUACUACCUGUCUCGUCCCAGGUCCCUGGUAUCUUCUUCUUUGAGGCAAUUUGAAAUCAUAAUUUCUCAUAGGGAGACACAACCUGAACUUGUCCGAUGGACCAAACCAAGGACUCAGAGAGCAGCUUUUAUCAACGAGAGACCCAAGACCCAACCCCAGUGUGUGUGUUGCUGUUGUAGUUGCUGCUGUUACAAACCACAGAAUUUACGAUGAUUUAAGCAAAAUGAG
rnacentral:lncRNA from 1 species